UACAGAGGUCUCAAGCGUUGUUCGGAUUCAUUGGGCGUAAAGGGUGCGUAGGUGGCGGGGCAAGUUUGGUGUGAAAUCCCGGGGCUCAACCCCGGAACUGCACUGAAUACUGCCUUGCUAGAGCACUGGAGAGGGAACUGGAAUUUACGGUGUAGCAGUGAAAUGCGUAGAUAUCGUAAGGAAGACCAGUGGCGAAGGCGCCUUGCUGGCCAAUUUCUGACGCUGAGGCGCGAAAGCGUGGGGAGCAAACAGG
rnacentral:rRNA from 1 species